AUAUCCUAUUUCAAACAGACCGGCAUAAUUUUGUCGAUUGGUGAGGGAUAAUCAUCGCUCGUCAGUCGAUACUAUUUAGAUCCUACUCUACCAUCAAGCUUAGUGGGGCAUUUUGCCGUAUUCGGAUACAAAAAUAAUCAUAAUUAUAUUUAGUAUUUUUUUGAAGUCAAUAGUACUUAAGGAAUAACGUGGUCAAACUGUAUUAUUAUAGUCACACAAACAUCACGCCAUUAUUUCCUAAUGGGGCUAUUCAGAGGUGCAGCCAGGACAGCCACUUUUCGCCAAUAUGUUGCAUCCCAUGAUGUGAUAGGGUGCGAUCAUAUAUCUGGCACGAAUUUCAGAUCAUUAGGGACUAACCCAAUAUCACUUUACUCGACCAGGGAUUCGAACCCCAGAUCUCUAAACGAUGUAUCUCAAUACAACUACGCCAUCAAAGCAGUCCUAUUAUAAAUGUUUUAGAACUAAUAGUGAUAUAGAGGUAUUUGAACACGUCACGCUGGAGUAACAAGUUUGUACUGAGCAGGUUACACAAGAAGGCUUUUACGAAAAUGCGGUGCUCUGUCAACAUUUCUCAUGUCACGCGAGCAUCUCCACUAGCUGUUAUGCUUGUACCAAUACUAGUGUCCCUAAGUGGGGAUGUGGGUUUCGUGGAACUGCGGUUUUAAUUUUUAGCUGUGAUUGGGAUUAUUUGGGACGGUAAUAUUGGCUGGAAUUGAUUACAUUAUGAAUGAAAGAGGCUAAAGUAAUUUGUAUUAGAGUGGUUGUUUUUUUAAGUUAUUGAAAUUUAUUGAAAAGUUGUUAUCCAUCAAAAUUCUUGGUGUGCAAAGGUCCAUAGUGAUUGCUGGCUCAUCUGGAUUACGCUUAUGCCGACUUCUGGAAUAUUCUAAGAGAUAGGGUAUCAAUAUUUUCGUUUUAAAACGUGGUAUACAAGAUGGUUUUAACUCAGGACACAAUACAUUUUUUGUAAAUAAAGAAAAACGUCAUGCUAACUAUCUAUCUUUAAGGUAUCUUUUAUAACAAAAUAUUAUGAUUAAAACGAAGACUAACUUGAUUUUUUAUUUUAAUAUUUUAUUAAAAGUAAAUAACAAUGAAAUGAUUAUGCAAAUAUAUAACGAGGGAAUUCCUUACAGAUUUUCCAGCAACCUGCAAAUAUAAUCAUUUACUUAUACAGGAAUUUAAAUUAAUUUCAAUGAAUAAACUAUGAUUGUUAGUACGAAUUUUUUCUCUUGGCGUAAAAUAAAAAAAGUAUGAAAAGUAUUUACGUCAAUUAAGAAAAUGCGUGGAACGGAACGCAUUGUAGUUUCCAUAGAGUGAUAUACUGUUGUGUUCUCUGGUAAUUAGCGUCACGCCGCUCGUCCUUGUGAAAGAACAUGUAAAUUACAGAAGAUUCAAGUUGAAUGUACGAAUUCGUCAGAUAACGCGUUGAAACUCUGAAAUAUUAUCUUUCGGCUCCUUGUCUAAAGACUGGGUAUCUUAUCAUGCGAUAAAACCGAGUGUGCGUUUUGGAAGGCAUUCGUCGAGGUCACCGCAUGUUUUCACAACAACUUCGCCAUCAAUUGUGUGUACUAGGAUUUUAGAUUUUGAAAUCUAGCUCCUUGAGGUGGCAGAGAGGUAACUGUAAGCAGGAUAGCAGCUUAUUGUUGUCCUUAUUUACCAUAAUGUUAAGACCACAACUUAAGUCAGCUUAUCUCGAUUUGUAGCUCAUCGCAUCGUAACUCCUGUGCCAGCGGUAUGGUUGACAUCGAUGUGUAAAAGAACAUUCAAUAACCUUUAGAGAUCCUUUACUCUUUGGAUAACAACAGUAUUUAUUAACAAUUGUUCUGAAUAUGAAUGUUAAAACAAUUGUAAUAGUUUUGCUCCCCACUUGGUAGGUACGCAUUGACGUAUUAAGUGUCUACAACGCAAUUAAGUUGUGAUGACAAUUCCGAUUGUUUCGCUAUAAGCACACAUUUAUAAAGAUCAUAUUUAUAAAGAUAAUAAGAGCGAUUUCCUGAUUGUUAGCGUGGAAUAUUUGUUUUAUGUUUCAAAUAACUAACAUUCGAAUUUCAAACGUAAACGCCGGAUGGCAACAGAAUACAAUCUAUUGUUUUCUUAAUUCGUUUAAAUUCUUGUUCUAUUUCUGCGGCAAAAAUAUUUGGCACUGUUUAGCACAUUCGAAAACUAUGUUUUGUUACAAAAUGUAGGGUUUUGAAAUUUAAUUUACAAUUAUUUUAUUCGCAGGUAUUUGUCUUUUCCUUGCUCGGGGCUUCUCUUGAAUCGUCUAUGAUCUUGAAUAACAAAAUAACGUUCGCGUACACCGCGAAUUGCAAAAUAAGUUGAUGGCGGGAAUGGAUGACGUAAAUCGUGCAAAAAAAAAUUACGAGCUGCUAUUGGUUGACAAAUAAAUAACGUAAUGCCUUCCUCUACUACGAGUGUGUGAUAACGAUUCUCACAAGCGACCGUAGUAAAUAAAACUUGAAAAACAGAUGGCAUAAACUACGAGUUAUGGCCGACUUUUUGAUACCAAACUACGGUUAACUAUACAUAUAACAUUAGUAUCGGAUAAGUUUGGUUUAGUAGUUUGGGUAUGCUAUAACACGAAGUGACACUUCGUAGAAGAUUAACGUGGUUGUAAAUUAGUGGAAUAAACUUUAUGGCGCUGAUGUACAGACUGCGCGAUGAAUCGUUACAGUCCUAGGAACUUUUGUGGAAGGCAGGAGUCUGGAAUUUGUCCGCGAUGGUUGGCUCGCCCUCUCUUCAUGGGCCGAAAUACACACGGAAGGUGGGUGCACCAGUUGCGCCUCUGCUUACCCCUCGGGGAUAAAAGGCGUGAGUGUGUGUAUAAAUCAUUAUAUAGUGCUGUAAAUAAUCAUCUAAAUAGUUAACAAAUUAAAUGGAAAAGCUUAACACGAUUUGUGAGCAGGCGCGAAAAUGAUGAAUCAUAACAUAAUAUAACAG
rnacentral:lncRNA from 1 species